UAGGGAAUCUUCCGCAAUGGACGCAAGUCUGACGGAGCAACGCCGCGUGAGUGAAGAAGGAUUUCGGUUCGUAAAACUCUGUUGCUAGAGAAGAACAGCGCAUAGAGUAACUGUUAUGCGUGUGACGGUAUCUAACCAGAAAGCCACGGCUAACUACGUGCCAGCAGCCGCGGUAAUACGUAGGUGGCAAGCGUUGUCCGGAUUUAUUGGGCGUAAAGCGCGCGCAGGCGGUCAAUUAAGUCUGGUGUGAAAGCCCCCGGCUCAACCGGGGGGGGUCAUUGGGAACUGGUUGACUUAGGUGCAGAAGAGGGGAGUGGAAUUCCGGAUGUAGCGGUGAAAUGCGUAGAUAUAUGGAAGAACACCAGUGGGGAAGGCGACUCUCUGGUCUGUAACUGACGCUGAGGCUCGAAAGCGUGGGUAGCAAACAGG
rnacentral:rRNA from 1 species